rnacentral:ribozyme from 13 species
UCUUCUCUCUUUCCUUUCUUUUUCCCUUUUUUCUUUUCUCCUUUUUGGCGAGAAUUUGAAAAGAAAGUUGGGGGAGG